ACGUAACACUCCUACACUCCGAUUACUCCGCGCCGUCCGCACCCACCUGACACCUGCUCGCUACGUUUUGUUAGCA
rnacentral:sRNA from 2 species